rnacentral:rRNA from 1 species
AUGAGGAAUCGCAUCCGACAUAAUUAUCCAUCACUGAUCCAUUGCCUACGAGCUUUUCACGUAUUAUGCUUCGCUUAUUUACUUUUCCGUUGCUCUUGUUACAGUUACUACAAAACCCCAAAAUAUUACUUUUGCCACUGUUACCUUUAUUAUCAUACUACUUUGCUACUAAAUACUUUGCUGCAGAUACUACGUUAUCCAGGUGUGGUUGAAUUGACAACUCAACUGCUAAUACUCAAUAAUAUUCUUUGGCUCCCCUUGUGUCGAAUCAAUAAAUUUGGGUUGAAUACUCUACCUUCAAAAGCUGUUAUGAUCCCCUACACUUGUUUAUUUAACCUAGAGCCCAUACUACUUUGUCUCCUUUCUUGA